UAAAAAUAGCCCUGUUACUGGAGUUGCUUAGUAUAAUUUGUUCUCUGGUAAUGAUCAGCCAAAACCAUUGUUUCUUUCUAUAUUAUUAAAUAUCUGCUUGUUUACUGUUACAUUCUGACAUCAAGAGAUUAAUAUUUAUAACAUAUAUCUGUAUCUAUUCAACAUUCUAGAUUACAGGAAUGAAGAACUGUUGCCUAAUUGGAAAGUGCCAGCAUUCCAGACUU